CAAGUAGUAGGGGAUUGUAACGGUCCACCCGUUAUAAUAUCAUUUUUAGCGCUGUAAUUAUUUUUAAAAAAAUUAUUUUCUCUUGAUCGCUUAAUCAAUUUCUUAAUUUUCUCGUAAAGGACUUCUCAUGUGACGUCACACUGUACGGAACAUAGUUGUUGAGCCGUUCCUUGUCAUUUAAUUCGUGUUCCGUGAGAGUUUGACGUUUUCCUCGCUGACUGUGGGAGGAAUGAGAGACACUUGGCCGGUGGCUGCGAGGUUGACAGGUUGGUGUUGGUAGUUAGUACCAUAGAAUGGCGGUUAAUUUCUUCAAAAUUAAUUUUUAUUUCAACUAAGGAUAGUGAAAAGUUACCACCACUUGUUUCCUGGAGUACGGGUUUCCUGGAGUAAGGAUGGGAGUACCAUCAGUGGAAGAGGAAUAAAAAAUUAACCGCCAUUUGGAAGAAAGCUAACCCUCCUGUGAAGUCGUACCCACUUUGACCACCUAGGGAAGCCACCUUGACCUUAUUGCAGCCACCGCCAAGUCAAACUGGGAGUAUGUUUUUGGGAACAAGUUUUCUUUGGGGAGCAUUCCAGCUCAAUUUUCGUCUUCGCACCUGGGUCUACAGGAGGCAUGAUUUUGCAUCAUCCUGAUGCUCAUUUCUGAGGAUGCAUCAGCAACCUCUUUAGGAGUCGUUUGGGAACAAUUAGUGUGGUGAUAAGAGUAACUAGGGUUUUUUAUAUUCCAGACAUUUAUGUGAUACAUUAUGUUUAUUAAUUACUUUUUCAGAUUUAGCGUACUUUUUUUUAUAUGACAUACUUGUAUACAUAUGACAUAUUUGAAUAUUAAUAUUUGGUUCCCAAACUAUUGUAGCUCUGGUAAGUUACUUGUGUACACAAGGUAAUAAGCCUAGAAAAUUAGGUUUUUAUAUUUUAUUCUUGGUUUGAUAUUUAUUUUUUGUAAUAUUACUUGCCUGUUUCCCAAAUAUUUUCUUAUUUAUUCGCUUUAUUUCAUUUGUUCGGUUAAUUCGUCGUUACUUUAUUUUAUUGCAUUUGCUCGGGUAAUUUUGGUCAUCGUUUCGGUAUUUAUCUUAACUUCAUUUCUAUAACUCAUUCAUUGUAUAUUUAACUUUGCUUAAUUCAUUUAGUAUUUUCCCUUAGUUAGGCUCAUGCCUAUUUAUAUAUAUAUUUAUUUGCAUUAUUUUCAUCUUCGUCGUUUUCAAUUCAGUUGUACGUAGCAGGCGUACUAUAACCAUUUGGUAGAAGACUCAUGUUAGUUGUACCCUAUAUGUAAGAGGUAUUUAUAUAAUUUUGUAAUAGAUAACAUUAUUGUAGUUAUCUCAAAUAUAACUUUUUGUAUAACUUAUGUCAUUUUAGAGUCACAUGAUAUGCACUUUGUGUAACUCAGAGAUUGUCAAAGAUCUAGUAGUUAUUUUUAAUAAAUAUUUACUUAUUUUGUA